rnacentral:SRP_RNA from 1 species
GCUGGGCAUGGUGGCAUGCACCUAUAGUACCAGCUACUCAGGAGCUGAAGCGGGAGGAUCACUUGAGCCUAGGAGUUCUGGGCUGUGGUGUGCUAUGCCAAUCAGGUGUCUGCACUAAGUUUGACAUCAAUAUGGUGACCUCCGAGGAGCAAGGGACCACCAGGUUGCCUAAGGAGGGAUGAAUUGGCCCAGGUUGGAAACGGAGCAGGGCAGCACUCCCUUGCUGAUCAGCAGCCUGGGCAAUACAGCGAGACCCUGUCUCU